rnacentral:rRNA from 1 species
AGAGUUUGAUCAUGGCUCAGAACGAACGUUAGCGGCGCGCUUAACGCAUGCAAGUCGCACGAGAAAGGGCUUCGGCCCCGGUAAAGUGGCGCACGGGUGAGUAACACGUGGGUAAUCUUCCCUCGGGCGGGGGAUAACAUUCCGAAAGGAGUGCUAAUACCGCAUAAGACCACGGACUCGAAAGAGUCUGAGGUCAAAGCCGGCCUCUAUACAUAAGCUGGCACCUGAGGAUGAGCCCGCGGCCCAUCAGCUAGUUGGCAGGGUAAUGGCCUACCAAGGCAAAGACGGGUAGCUGGUCUGAGAGGAUGAUCAGCCACACUGGAACUGAGACACGGUCCAGACUCCUACGGGAGGCAGCAGUGGGGAAUCUUGCGCAAUGGGCGAAAGCCUGACGCAGCGACGCCGCGUGAGUGAUGAAGGCCUUCGGGUUGUAAAGCUCUGUGGAGAGGGACGAAUAAGUGCGGACUAAUACCCCGCAUGAUGACGGUACCUCCUUAGCAAGCACCGGCUAACUCUGUGCCAGCAGCCGCGGUAAGACAGAGGGUGCAAACGUUGUUCGGAAUUACUGGGCGUAAAGCGUGUGUAGGCGGCCAUGUAAGUCGGAUGUGAAAGCCCCGGGCUUAACCCGGGAAGUGCAUUCGAUACUGUGUGGCUUGAGUAUCGGAGAGGUUGGUGGAAUUCUCGGUGUAGAGGUGAAAUUCGUAGAUAUCGAGAGGAACACCGGUGGCGAAGGCGGCCAACUGGACGAAUACUGACGCUGAGACACGAAAGCGUGGGGAGCAAACAGGAUUAGAUACCCUAGUAGUCC